AGGAAGGAAACAGUCGAUUCUAUCAACCCUAAUACUUUUUAUUUUAUCGAGAAAGCUGAAACGUGAAAUCGACCUAGGUGGGAAUUGAACUCAAAACAUCAGAGGCUGUAACUACCGCAAAGCAUUUUUUGCGACGCUCUUGAGUGUGCUAAGCAACAAACAAAAAGGCGACGUUACACUUAAACAUACAGGGAAAUACAUACACAUUAAAACAAUAACAAAACAAUGGUUCUUGUUUGUAUAAACUCAAACACAAUAUUUAGAUUAAAUACAACCGAACCAAGCAAGGCCAUGGUGUGACAGCGUAUGUACACACACACACACACAUACGAGAGAGAGAGAGAGAGAGAGAAAGAGAGAGAAACGCAUAUACAUAUAAUGCACACAGUAAAAAGUAAAUGGAUCUCUGUCGGUUUCGACGAUGAGUAUUCCAGAUGUCCUAUUAACAAUGCAGUGUAAGUAGCGAGCAUUUUUACAAACACUUGUACUUCAAACCGAAUCCGCGUAACACAGUAAUAUUGUUGAUACUUUGAAUUAUGAGAUACAAUCCUUUCAAUGAAUGGUCUAACAGAGUUUCCAUCCAUAAAGAUUUCACUUAAAGAUUAUUUGCUAAAAUACCCCCACUGCAUGGCACCUCAUGAUUCAGAAGCGAACUGCUUUAACCAGUCGGCCGUAUAUACACACAUACAUACGUAGGAGUAACAACGGUGAAAAUUUUCAGUUGUAAUUACAGGUACACACACACACACACACUCAUAUUGCAGUUUGUGCAAUUAGCAUGUAUUUCAAUUUACAUUAUAUGCUAACUCAUGUAUGUUGCUUGUAACUGUCAUGUGGUCGGUCGCUGAUCUAAAUUUUGUUACACGUAUAUAUAUAUAUACACGCUGAUAAACAGCUAUAAAACACAGACACACAUAUUCAUAUUGACACACAUAUACUAGUCAGCGUCUUGAUAUGUAGCAAGUUGGGAGAAAAGAGGAGAGAGUAAGGAGACUGUAACUCACACAUUCAUAAUAUCAGUCAUGUAUAAAAGUCUGUAUGGAAUAUGUGCAGAGGAAUAUUCAUUAAGCAUUAAAAAAGGAAGGAAGGAGAGGACAUUAAUGCCAACAAAGAAGGUGUAGGGUGGGCUUCACUCGGAUGGCUUAUUUACAUUGGAGGAGCAACUCAAACAUUCAUUUCAGCUAUCUUACGUGACAAACCGUUUCGUGUUUGAUAAAAUUGCGGCUAUUAGCCGAAAAUUACACUGUCUUUGGAAGGAACUUGUAUUUCGACUGCUACUUACGAGUGAAGAAGACUAAGUUAUCAAUCAUCUGCUAGCGAAGAAACCAUCAGCUACCGAAGAAAUAUAUAAACAAACAAGCCUCCGUAUUUCGGUUUAUUAUAACUAAAUAGUAGUUGGGAAAACAAAUCCAGCAAAGAUGAGUAAAGAAGAAAAUCAAAAGGUUUUGAGAAUGGAUACUAUAAAUCCUUACUUAAGAGCAAUGGAAUAUGCUGUGAGGGGACCAAUUGUGAUGCGAGCUAACGAAAUAGAAUUAGAUUUGCGAAAAGGAAACAACAGCUACCCAUUUGAGAAAAUCGUCAAAUCCAACAUAGGGGACUGUCAUGCCACGGGACAAAAACCAAUAACAUUCAUACGGCAAUUAAUGGCAUUGUGUUUAUAUCCUGAAUAUCUUAUGGACGAUCCUAACAUCCCGAGUGAUUGUAAAGAACGGGCAAACCGAAUUCUGAAUGAUUGUCGUGGAAAAAGUGUCGGAUCUUACUCGAACAGCGAAGGGCUUCGAGUUAUUCGAGAAGAUGUAGCGAGUUAUAUCGAAGCUAGGGAUGGUUGCUCGGCCUCUCUUGACGACAUCAUUAUGACAACUGGUGCUAGUGAUGGUAUAAAAAUUAUUUUGAAUAUGUUAAUGACUGGAGAACCCGGGAAAAAGAGAGCAGGUGUCAUGAUACCAGUUCCUCAGUAUCCUCUUUAUUCAGCAACAAUAACAGAAUAUAACGCGUAUCCUAUUUACUACUACCUCGAUGAAGACAAUAACUGGGCUUUGAACCUAAAAGAAGUUGGAGCUGCUUACAACAAUGCAAAAUCACACUGCCAGCCACGGGCCAUUUGUGUAAUUAACCCGGGAAAUCCAACUGGUCAAGUAUUAACUAAAGAAAACAUUUGCGAUAUCAUUAAAUUUGCUAACCAGGAGAAAUUGUUUAUUUUAGCAGACGAAGUCUAUCAACAUAAUAUAUACACAGAUGGAGUAGAGUUUCAUUCAUUCAAAAAAGUCCUCACAGAAAUGGGUCCCGAAUACAGCAAUGUAGAGUUAGCUUCUUUCAUGUCAGCAUCAAAAGGAUACAUGGGAGAAUGUGGCUUCCGAGGUGGCUACUGUGAAUUAACUAACAUUGACCCUGAUGCGAAGAAAGUGAUUUUGAAAAGCAUCACAGCCCGUCUUUGUCCGCCUCUUAUGGGUCAAAUUGCCAUCGCAGCGGUGGUUAACCCGCCUGUCAAAGGUGAACCUUCUUAUGAUCUUUUUAUGGAAGAGAAAACUUUUGUACUCCGCCAGCUUCAGAAGAAAGCUCGCCUAGUCACCGACAUGUUCAAAUCCAUCCAAGGUUUUACGUGCAACGAAGUACAAGGGGCAAUGUAUUGUUUUCCACGCAUCGACAUACCAGAGAAGGCCAUAACUCAAGCAAAGCAGAGAAACAUGACUCCAGACAGUUUCUAUUGUUAUGAACUGCUAGAAAACACUGGCAUUUGUGUAAUCCCUGGAAGUGGGUUUGGUCAACGCGCGGGUACACAUCAUUUUCGCAUCACUAUAUUGCCACCCGAAGAAGAAUUUAAUAAAACUGUCAUCCGUUUUAAAGAAUUCCAUAUGAAUUUCUUAGCUAAAUAUCAUUAACGCUAUCUAUGGUGGGAUUUUGACAUGAGCAUGUCACCAAUAUUAUUUCAUACUAUGGAUAUUUUAUACCAGUAAAAUGAUAACUGAUACCAAAUAUCCACAGCAAACCAUUCCACUGAAUUACAAGGCUUCAGUACUAUUUCUAAGUUUGACUUGGUCAAAGAUUUUUAUUUUAUAUUUAGUAUAAAAUUAAUUUUUUUAAAAAAGAGUCACAGUAACUACAACAAAUUGAUAAGAAACUUUGACUACCAUAUAAAAUCAACAGGAGAGAAGGGAACUUGAGAAAAAAGGCAUUGUUACUGUUUCUGUUGUUUCUAGGAACAUUUUAAUGAAGGAUAAUUUUUUGAUAUAUUUAAUUGUUGAUUUAAUAUUAAAAAAAUUAUUUACCUAUUUUUAAAAAUAUUUUUGUUUGUUUAAAAAUCUCUGAUACAAAAUAGAUGAUUAUAUAAACAUUUGACAAUAGAAAGAAUGAAAUGAUUCUAAGUUUUAAAUUUCUCAUACAUUCCCUCAUCAUUCCCUAAUUUGUAAAAACAUUUUGACCAAUUUUUUUAUUGCAAGUUUUCAACUUAAGACACCUCACUCAUAUAUAAGAGUCUUUCAGUUGUUUCUGCAGCAGAUUCUUCUUUUUUUUUUUAAAUUUUUUUUUACUCUCAAAAUAACUAUCUUCCAACUCAUUCUUCUUGAAAUUGUAAUAUUCUCACUCAUUUAACCAGCCAUUAUUCCUAUCUUCCUCUUAAAAAGAAGAAGACUUACCAUUUUCCCUGUCUUCCUACAAACUGUGUGAUACCCUUUCUUGGUUAUUCAUUUUUUUGUGGAGCCAUACUAGUUCUUUUCAUCUGUUUUACAAAUCGCUAUAUUAAUUCUUAGACAACUUUCAAAAGUAAAACGUUUUAUUUAUAUUUUUUCUACCAUUUCUACUGACUUCUUGUAAAUAAAGUAAAUUCUACUGAUAUCAGAAAGAAAUGUAUAUCAUUGGGACCUUAAUCCACUGGUUUCAAAUGAACCUCAAGAGUGUCUUACAUUUUAACCUUGGAAUUACUAACUCAAGCUGACAACAAUGUAACAUUCCAGUCAACUAUAGAACCUGUUAUUAUUUGUUUUUAUGUUGGUAUUGUCAUUGUCAUAAGUGUGGUCGUUAUCAUUGUUGUUAAGUAACUCUGGUCAAUUCUGUAUGAGCCGAUAUAGAACUAGAUUGUUGAUCAAAUAAAGCAUUUGAUCUGCAUUUUUAGCUGUGGGCAAUCUUUCCAUCUCUAUUGUAAAUAUAUUGUUCUAAAAGUUACUACUUCAAGCAACUAGUGGUUUGUAUUUUAAAAACAAUAUGGAGUUCAUGUUGAAAAAAUGUUACUGCUACAUUGAGCAAUCAACCAACUACAUAGGAGUUACCUUACUGGCUCUUUUGGUUCAUAUCCUAUGGAUAUAAAGUGGGGAACAAAUUUAGUAAGAGAGAUUUGGUUGCUAUAUUCAGAAUGUCAAGUAACUAUACAGACGCUCCCUCUGUGGUAUGUGUUGUGAUUUUUGUAAAGAAUUUUUGAAGAACUCACUCUAUUUUGUUAAAUGAAUCUAUGGUGGUAAAUGAAUAUGAUAGCCAAUCAAGCAUUCAGCAGAAAAAACCCCACAAAUCUCUAAAUAAGUCAACAUAUAUGCUGUUCAUAUAAGCACUGCCAGUUCCUAUAUUAUCAUUCCAAACCCUCAUCUUCUGAAGAAAUGAACCAUUAAAUCAACCUUGUUAAGAUUUGAACUCUUGCUUGUCCUUAAACUAUGUCUGACUUUAUUCAUCUUGAAUUAUUAUAUAAUUUUUAUAUUGUACCAUUUUUGAAGAAAAAUGAAUAACUGAAUCAACCUGGGUCAGAUUUGAACUUGGAAAUAUUUUUACACUCAUUCCAACACUUGAGCAACAGUUGAUCAUUCACAAAUGCUUACUCCAAACCAAGUAGAGGGACACUGGUUGUAUAUCAAGACAGUUCGGCAGUUUCUACCAUCAAGUAGACCCUGAAAACUUUCUUCAGUGAAUCAAUGAUAUUCCAAUAAAUAUGAUUUAUGCAGUAAA